CAGGGAUAGAGCCAACAGUGUCCUCCUCUGAGUACUGAUUAUGUGACAAGUCUGGGCUUGCUCCAGCUGGUGUGAGAGAUGAGGCUCUGGGCAGAAGAAGGAGGCAGGGACAAGGGCCUCCCUGUCCUAACAUCUGGGGCUGCAAGGGCCCUUCGGUCAGGCUGCAGACUUGAUGACCUCCUCUUCCCCUCCCACCCUGGUAGUCACAGCUGGGACGAAGGGAGCUGAGUCCUGGCCUGAACGUGAAUGGUUCCACUGCUACCAGCUCUAGGAGCAGCCCUGAUUGCAUGUGUUUUCUGGAAACCCAGUUCAUAGAGAAUUAUGAGAUGCCAGCUGCCAUUCCAGUGGUUUGCAACCCUUUCCGCUCAUCAGAUUUACCUGUGGAAGUUCCAUGAAAAUGCAGAUGCCCAGGUUCCACCCCUGGAGAUCAACUCAGGAAACAGAGGAAAUCCAGAACAAACAAGACACUUCAAAACACUCCACUGACAUGUAGAAACAUUCAACAGAGGCGCCUGGGGGGCUCAGUUGUUAGGCUCAGUUGUUAAGCAUCUACCUUUGGCUCAGGUCAUAAUCCCAAGGUCCUAGGAUUGAGCCCCACAUCGGGGGGGGGGGGUCCCCACUCAGCGGGA